CCUCAGGAAAAGUCCAGUCACUUCCUGAACCGUAAUCUGCCUGUGAGCAGCAGAUAGAUUCUCAUUGUUUCCCAUUUCCAGUUUCCAGUAAUGGGAACGAUUACUUGAUCUAGCCAGUUGCUGUUGAAGAUCUGGGAAAACUUACAGAUUUUAAUGGCAAAAUUUUAUCUGUUUCCAUAAAACAACAACAGAAAGAAAACCUCAUAACCUGGUUUUGGUACCUCAAGGCAUCACCUCUGAUGAUGAAUAUUGUUUUAUUUUGGAAUUAAGUGUCUGUUCUUCAGGAACGAGAUGUAUCUUGCUCUUCUGGUGAUUUUCUUGCAGUGUUCAGGACUUUACACUCAGGAGGGAGUUUUUACUUUCAAUACAGUUGAAAUCAAAGUUCAGCCUUCUGUCAAAGUAAAGAAUGGAGCUCCUAUGUCAAUUGUCUGCCGUGCUGAUAUUAGCAAAAAUACUGAUUUCCAGCUGAAGCAUAAUUUUACAAUUUUUAAGGAUGGCAAGCUUGUAUUCAUGACUGUAACAGACAGAGAAGAUGCAAAAUAUGAAAUAUCUGUGGCUAGAUCUUCAGAUACAGGAGAGUAUGAAUGUACCGUGGAAGCACGUGGAAAGACAAAAUCUAGUAACUCCUUACAUGUUUGGGUGAAAGGAAUGACCAAGCCAAUCCUGACUGCUGAGAAAGAAGAAGUUUUAGAGGGUGAAGUUGUGAAAUUACGUUGUGAGCUGCCAGAAGAAGUACCUCCUUUACAUUUCUUUUUCCGGAAGAUAAAGACAAAUUCAAUACCUAAAGAAAAACGUGUUUUUGAACCAUAUAGAAAUUUUUCUGAAGUGGAAUUUUCUGUUGAGGAGGCAGAUAAUAUUUUACAAUUUGAUUGCUUUGGUAGAAGAUUUGUACAACUCGAAUUUGAAGACUCAGAACACAGCAACACAACACUUGUUACGGUCAGGGAACCAUUUAUAAAGCCUACUCUGAAUGCCAAGCCCUCAAGUAAUAUUACAGAAGGAGACAGAAUACAGUUUGAAUGCUCAACUGUCGUAGCCCGAAUGCGUGACAUUGAAAUCCUACUUCAGAAAAACAAAACAAUACUGAAGAGUGUACAAGAUGAGGUUUUGAAAUACUCUACGGUAGCUACUCUAGAAGACAGUGGUGAAUACCUGUGUAAGGUGGAGCAAGGGAGAGCAUCUAAAACAACCAAACUGAAUGUUGUUGUGUCAGAGUUGUUCCCCAAGCCAACAUUGGCUGCUUCUAUGAGUAAUCUGGAUGAAAAUAAAGAAUUAACUUUGAGUUGCAGCAUUAGUGGUUUUCGGAAAGCUAACUUCUCUAUAUUACGAAAAAAUUCAAAUGGAGACACCUUGUUGAAAAAUUCCAGAAACUUAACAAUGAGGGUUAAUGUGAAUGACACUGGAUCCUAUACCUGUAAAGCUGAAGUAAAAGGAAUAGUCAAGGAGAGCAAACCUGUAAGGAUAAAUGUUUAUGCUCCAGUCUCCAAGCCAACCCUUUCUGUUGUCAGUGGUUUACCGGAGGUGGUUUUAGGGAAGCCUCUAUGGUUAAUCUGUCGUUCAGCGAUGGGAACGCCACCAAUAAUAUUCACAUUCUACAAAGGAAAUGAAGUUAAGAAAAGAGUAACUAAUGACACAUAUGCCAUGUUCUUGGAUGAAAACAUUAGACAAAACGACAAAAGAGGAUACAAAUGUGAUGCUAGAAAUAAUCACUCCAGUGGUAUGAAAACUAGCAAUAUUCUAAACAUCACAGUAAUAGUACCAAUCAGGGAUGCCAGCUUGGGCAGUAUUCCAUAUGGAGAAGUGGAAGACGGUAGUGAGACUGCUUUUCUCUGCUCUGUGAAAGAAGGAUCUUGGCCAAUUCAUUUCAAGCUUUUCAGAAAAACUGAUCGUGAAGUUCUUCUAUUUGAACAAAUUGAAAAUGCAGACAGAGUCAUGUGGCACAAGAAAGCAAUGAAGAAGCAGGACACAGGGACAUAUUUCUGUGUGGCUUCUAAUCGGGCUAACGUGGAUGUGAAAAGCCAUCCAAUAACCAUCAGUGUCAUCUUAGCGACUUGGAAGAAAGGAGUCAUUGCUGCAUUCUCCCUCAUACUUAUUGUAGGAGCAGUAACUCUCGCUUUAUAUUGGUUUUUGCGCAAGAAGAAAAAAGCUAAAGGACCAUCCCUGGAGAUGUCUGGUUCUGCCUUGGCUACAAACUUGACAAGUGAAAAACUGACAAGACAGCCCAAUGAUGGAGACUACUAUUCAGGAUCAGGUUACAUUGAAGAUAACGAAAAUCACGUGAAAUCGGCAGAUGAGAGUAAAGGACCUGACCUUGAGAGUGAGGAGGUGGAGUACACUGAAGUUGAAGUGUCAACGCUUGAUCCUCACAGAGCGGCAUGUUCAAAGGACACAGACGAUGACAUUUUCCUGGCAGAGAUAUGAUACUUAGCUGGAAAGCCACACGAUUUUGAAGCUGGGUGACAGCUAACAAGGAGAUUCUGUGGAAAACAGGCAUUCUAGAAUACAAGGGCAUCCUGAUGCUACUUAGAGCAGCCACCUCAAAGAUCAGCUGGGAGAAGAAAACAAGCCAAGAUGGAAGAUGUUGCAAAUGUUUCAAAAGCUCUGCAGCACUUAUUUAUGAGUUUGCCAGGCUCUUCUUUUCAAAGUUUAUUUCCUCAGGGGGAACAAUAGAGAAGUUCCUAAAGCAUUUAACGGAAAAAAUUACAAAUAAAAAUUCUCGUAGGAAAGUGGCUUUAGAAACCACUGACCUAGGUUCCCAUCUUUAAUUUCUCCUGCUAAUGCAAUUUUGCCUUUCUAGCGUCUGAUUCAUCACGCUCUGAGGAAAUAAAAGGAGAAGCUACAGCUGAGGGAGUGCAUUUCUACACUGCACUAACUACUGUGAUGCUAGUAGGAUGUAGAAAUAUCUAAUCUUGCUUUAACCUAGCUAACUUGGUUAGCAGUACCAGCUGUGGCAGAACCGAGCUCAGCAUGGCUUGGCCAGCCAUGUGUGGACUUGGACAUGAUCUUGCAGGUUGUGCUGAACUCUCGGUGCUGCAGCAGCUGGACUGCUACCAGCCUUGGAGCCAGCUACUUUAUAGCUCCCUUGGACACUACACUGUAACGAGGGCCUAACGGAACAGCGAGCUCUGGGCUCUCUAAAAACUUGAAUAACUGUUCAGACAUUCAGUACUUUACCAAGUGCUUCUCUAAGUAGAGGCACACGUAUGCUUUAUUCUUCGCUAAAUUGCUUUUCCCUUUAAAAGUUCUGAUGCUUGUUGGUUAGUUGGGUGUGAUGGCUCUCCAAGGACUGAUUGCCCAUCACAGUUAUUUUGGAUGAUACAAAAUACAAGUCUGGACUGGGUGGAUGUACUACACCCAGAUCAAGGAGUUCGUACCUGAAAAUCCUGUUAUGUGUAACCCUUAUUCCUUUGAUUUUUAGGAGAGAUCUGUAGUUGUACUUGUGGCCAGUUAGUCCAGUAUGGAACUCCAUGCCUAUCCUUUUUCUCUAUAGCAUCAUAAACCACUAACAUGGAUCCAGUCUGGACCUGGAUCUAAUCUUUGUGGCCCAUAGUAAUCUCAGUUGCAUUAGUUUAAAAAAGAACACAAAACAGAAAAAGGACUGUCCCCAACCUCCUAACCAGCUGGUCUUUGACACUGCAUUGCUCUCCUUUUCUUAUUAAAGAUUAAAUUACUACAAGAUCUGGGCCACAGGUAAGAAGGUUCUCAUUUUAAUUAGAAAAUAGUGAAAGAGAGGACAUGGAUUUGUAUAUACAUAUAUAGUUACUGCUUUAAGCAUUGCAUCAAAGGCGCAAAACCAGCAAGAAAUACAAAAGGGUUUUAUAUCCUCAUUCCAAACGUCUAAGUUUUCAAGCUCCAGUUACUGGCUAAUAUCUCUAAUUUAUUGUUCCCUAUGCAAAUGUUGUUUGUACCAAAAGCCUUUCACAAAUGACUGACUUCAUAGCACUCUUCUGUUGACAAAUGUUCAUUCCAGCAUCCCAUGAGUGUCCAUACAAAUGCAUGAGUAUACGGAAUGUGAAAAGGUAUUUUAAUAAAGAAAACUCUGAACUGAA